AAAUACGAUCGGGCUUCGUUUGGGCUUACUUAGUCUCCGUCUCCGUAAUUUUGCGUGUGGCACUGUUAAUUGAGUUGGUCUAAAAACACAGAAAAUUAAUAUUUGAUCGGGCUUCGAAUUAAUACCUUUUCUCAAAACCAUUCACUUUUAACAUAGUCGUUGUAUUGGUAAAACGAAAGCCUAAGCUUUCUCAUCCUGUCAAUAACACUAAUCGCCGUCAAGUGAAAAAUAAUGGACACUGGGAUUUGCCAAGUGAACAAGAUUUGAGACGAGAUGUAACUCUUCCGCUUCCAAGCGUUUCUGUUCUUCUUCUUUACCCCCUGAACCGUCUUCAUCAUCUCCACGCCCUACCAAGCGAUCUAAGGCGGUGGAACCGGCGGGGUCUUCCUCGGCGAGCGAGGUUCCGGUUGAGAAUCAAGUAUCAGAAUCUGGAGAGACAGAGCUUGGAUCCUCUGAUCCCCAAACUAUGGAUUUGGAGAAGCCUGUUUUAACUGAUGUGCCUGUGAUGGAGAUCUAUCCUGAAGCCGACACAAAACCUGAAGCCGAUGUCUUAGCGACACCUACCGUGACAGGUGAAGUGGUGACGGAUGGUAAGAAGUCGAAGGCGGGGAAGAAGCGAACUAAGGCUCCAUGGGCGAAACUACUUUCUCAGUAUUAUCAGGCAUGCUUUGAUGCGCCAGGGGUUUAGUAAAUUUAAGUUUUUUUUUCCAUCUCAAGAAAAUUCUUAAAGGAAAUAAGGAAAAGAAAAUGUUGCUUACAUUGGUUGAUUUCUUAGGAUGUUUCAAGAGAUUUCAAAAGCACCUUGGAGCAUGAAAUUGGCCUUGAUGAAAUCUCAACGCUAGAUGUCUACAACCGGAACAGAAUGCACAGUGCUCCCCUCCUCCACCACCUGUUGGAAACAUUGAAGAUCCUGUGACUACUACAAGUGAGCCCAAUGAUGCUCAAUCACAAAAAGCUUACACAAUCGAGGAUUACCUCAAGAUCACUGAAGAGCAGAUCAAAGCUUCAUCUCCUGGUAAAAGCCAAACAGAGGAUCAAAUUCAGACUCAAGAACCUGCUGUACAAAGCCAGCCUGAAGUUACAUCGAGAGAGACCAUGGCUGCAUCUCCUCCAAGGCAAGAUUGAAAGGCACCCAAAAAAUUGAGUCGUCAUGUUAAAAGCAUUAAAGCCUCUAUGUCUCCUACUUAAUGAUUAUAAAUGGGGUUUGUUAGUUAAAUAUCGUCCUACUCUUGAAUGACCAACCCAUCAUUUUAUGAGUCAAAGAUAGUUAAUAGGGAAACUUGAUUGUAUAACUAAAAACUUAAUAUUACUAAUCUGAUAUGUGUUUCAAACCCA